rnacentral:misc_RNA from 1 species
GAAAAGGAAUGCUGCAAAUCCCAGUUCUUGUGGAAGAAUUCUGUCUCCGAAUAGAGGUCCUCGAGCUUUCUUGACAGGUUUUGACUUGUCCUUGUUCUUGAGAGCAUCACCUAGUUUCUCAGUGACAACCCAUUCGUUAGCCCUCUUUGCUUCGAGCAAGCCAAUGAAUGUAGCCUUUGUUCGGUGGUAAGCCAUAACGUUCUCGAAGAGAAUCCAAUAGAACAGUAAAUGAAUUGACCUUGGCGUUCCGACAGAGUUGAGAGUAGUGAUGAUGCAAGGAAUGUAAAU